rnacentral:lncRNA from 1 species
GCUGGCCUUUGAAGAAUUGAGAACUAGAACAAAAGCAAAUCAGAGAUUCUCUUGUCUUGUUCCAGAUUUUAAUGAUAUAUUUAUAUAUGAAUGACAUAAGGCAAGAAUAAUUACUAAGAAUAAUUACUUCAAUAACUUUGAUACCACUCCCCUAUUUAUGGGGAAAAUUGUGCAUAUGUUAAGCACAGGUAAUAAGUUUAGAAAGAAACAACAUGCUCAGACUAAGGGAGGAAUUCUCAGCAAAGUGGGCCUCCAUUUAAACAGACUUUGAAAAGUACAUUUCUUUGGAGUUUCCUGGAAACAGCUUUUCCCAGUGUUCCAGGUCAUAAUUAGUAGUCAUGGAAAGAAAGCCAACGCACACUGGUUUUCCAGAAUGGCCCCUAGGGAACAGAUAAACUGCUUUCCCAGCUAGACAACUCCUCUUCAAGAACUGGAAUGCAUAUCCCUGCCAAGGGCCAUGGAGAGGAAGAUAUAAAGACGGUUUGUUUAUAGUGUGCAGUUGAUCCUUGAAAACAGGUUAUGUGAUUUAUAUAAGAACCACAGUUAAUUUUUAUGUAUUUUUCUCAGGGUUUAUCCCCUGAUUUGCACAAACCAUUAGAUAUUCUGUAAAGAAAGGUUUUCCUUGUUAGAACAAAGAAAAUGAAACUCUUUCCCGGUGAGUUUCAAGUAACAGUCAUUCUGUGUGUAUUUGGCUAAAUAUAGACAGUUUGGGCUUGCAACCCAUAGUAUGGUUCCAAACUGUUCUGAGAGUCACUUGUGUAAAUACUCCUUGCAUCUCCCAACAAAAUGAAAUAUAUGUACUGGUAAAGGGUCUCUCACCAAGAAGUCUUGCUGUGUCUGUGUCUGAGCAUCUUCAUGUAAUCCUUGUAGUAAUAACCCAAAGGCAGUGAGUUUUUACAAAAAAAUAAAGAAACAAACAACUUUCAUUUGGGGAAAGGAUGUAAAGACAGAUGUAAUUUAUAUGUGCCAGUCACUCAGUUCAUGAAGUAUAUGCUAGAUCUGAUAGGACAAUGGAAGGAAAGGAAAGGAAAUUGAAGAUAAAAGCAAGUGUCCACCUUACUGAGCUCCAAAUAAAAGGGAUGCCACUCAGUAAAAUGCCAGACAGACUUAGGAGGUUCCUCAUCCCCAUUCAAAAGUGAGCUAUGUAUGACAAACAUGUGUUUGUAUACAUGCCUUACUUCAGCCGUAUGGAAGUGGAGCAAAUAACACUAAAAUAGUGUUAUUUAUGGGAUGCGUUUACAGUCUAUUAAAUGACAAGAGAUAAAGUAGCUAAUGAGUGUGUUCCUGCAAGCUUACAUGAGAUGCCCAGCAGAGAUUUGCCAGCAAUUGAUGACCACUGUGAAUCUGUAGGUGUUAAGAUUCCAUGUGCUACUUUUAAUUUUCAUAAAAUUUUAUUUUCAAAAAACUUACUUUACAGUAACAUAGUAAUGACGUGUUUUUGUGUGUGUGUGUGUGUGUGUGUGUGUGUGUGUGUGUGCCCACAUGGGUAUAUAAAUUUAGACAUGAAUAUAACUUCAUAUAUUUGUUGAGUUUAGAGAACAUCCUUUGGGUGUUGGUCUUAACUUUUCUUUGAGACUGGCUCUUUUAUAUUGCUGAAUAAACCAAGGCUAUCAGCAUGGAAGCUAGUGGAGAUUUUUUCUCUUUCUCCAUCCUAUCUCCCUGAAGAAGCUGGGAUCCCAGAGUCUGAAUUACCAAGUACAGCUCUUACCUGGGUUCCCAGGACUCUAACUGAGGUGAUCGGGUCUAUGUAGGAAGCACGCUUUACUAUUUGCUGUAUGUUUCCCAGCUCUGUAAAUAUCUUAAAAUAAAUGAUCCACAGAGCAAUAAAUAGUCAUAUGAAUAAUGACUCAUUUUAGGACUUUGUAUGCUCUGUCCAGGAAAUCUACACUCCUUACUAACCUAACAGUUGAAUAUCUAGACCAUUCAACAAAUUCUAACAGCUUCAUAGUGACAUGCAGUUUGUUUGUUAGACUCUAUCCCAGCGCAAGUAGGUCAAGACUUAAGAUGAAUACUGGCCUCACCUGUGCUGUGAUUCUAUUUUACUGCAUCUAAGCAAACAGUAGAAUAAUGUUUUCCAAUUUAAAUUGUUACAAAACUAUUGCUUUCCAGAUUCUUACUAGCAAAGUACAGGGCAAAUAGAUUCAACAAAUAUUUAUAACUUCACCUAAAAGAAUUGGCCUCAAUGAAAUAUAUAACAUUUUUUCUAUUUAAUGUUUUUUUGUAAAUAACAAGUAAAUUUGAAUUUGUAAUUAGUUUUUAAUGCAGUUAUUCAUAACGGUUUGGGGCUUCAAAGGUGUGUGUGUGUGUGUUAUAUAAUAAAUUAUAAGAUAACUUAUGUGUGUGAAGUCAAAGCUGCAGUCAUUGCUUACACUGGAUUUAUUGAAGAAAAAUAUCUGUAACCUGUUUCUUUUUUCCUUUGACUUUUUCAAACAAGGUCUAAUUCCACCCAGAGUGGGCUUCUGUCUAUACUUCUCAAAUUAGGGUUAUGGGCAUGUACCAACAUGUCUCAGUGCUUGUUUUCUUGUGCACUGGAUAUUAAAAUUUAAAACAAUAAGAGAUAUAAAGUGAAAUAAUCUACCACUAACUGCAUGAUCUUUUAAUAAAUUCAUUAACCUUCUCAUGGCUUAAUUUCUUUGUCUGUAAGAGGUUGUCUUGUGAGCUAACACAUAUAUAAUAUGAUGUAUUGGUUAUAUAUGAACUUGUGAUACAUCAAGAGGUUACCUACUGCCCUACCAUAUUACAAGGCAGUAGUCAUUGUGGUUUCUGGAUUCUGGUUUUGAAUGUGGAUGAUGUGAUCAUAUGAAGCUUAGAAUAGAUUAGAUUGUCUAGAAUAGAUUCACACUGAAUAAAGUUACAAGAUACAAAUAUGUAAAUCAAGAUGCCAAUGUGUUAAUUUGACUUCUCAAGUACUGAAAUAUUUGAAUUCACCACUGAGAGAAUCCAGGGUAAGUCAGACGUGUGAUUUGGUGAGAAGAGAGAAGGCAUUCAGACAUUGGAUUGAUUAUAGGGGGUAUGUAUCACAACUGAAACUAGAGUGAAAAAUAUCAGAUCUUUUCAAAGGCAGGUAAAAGUUAAAAUUCUAACUAAUGGAGCAGCACCAUUUGUGACUGGUGUCAGGUCUUCUUUGUGCAAGCUGCAUGGAUAUUGCUCAGCUGGUGCUCUUCCAUUCAAGAAACUGAUUGGAUAUCAUUGUUAUGGAUUUUUUUUUCCAAAGAUAAUCGCAACAGUCUCUCUACUCUAGUUAGGCCUCAGUUAAGAUAUAGAGUCAAUGACCCUACCGUAUUCUACUAAGUAAGCAGUUCAUAGUUGUUGUAUCCAAUGCUAUGGUGAGUGCGACUUUGUCUGUUUUAGGUGCAGUGUUUCUUUGGCUUGGUAGCUUCUCUCUGAUUCCUGGGACAAUAGUUUUUAGGGUACACUUCUCAGAGCCAUCAUUAACUGCCAGUCUUGUGGCUGAAACACUAUGAAUUCUUAGCCUUAAAUGGAUGAAUAUUAACCCAGUCUCUCUCUUAAAUUCACUACUAAAAGAUACCUAUCAAGAUGUUUAUUGGAAGGCAGUUAAGACAUAGAACUAUAAAAAAUAAUAAAUUGGUUUAGGUGGCAAAAUUUAGGGACUAUACAUCAUGCCUAGUAGAUUAUAAAACAAUUAUCUGUUAUCCCUCACUCAAUCUUUUGCUUCAACUGGUUAGGAGAUUGGAUAAGUUUACUUUUCUAUAGUCAUUAGCUCGUUGAUUGCUUUCACAGUCCUGUUUACCUGUAGAUGUAUCUUGUAUUUGUUGCACUUAUAUACUAUGUAUUGUCCUUCAAAAUUUUCCUUUCUUUAUGGAUCUUAGAUCUUAAUGAGGGAGAUAACUCAUGAAUAAGGUAAGUUACAAGGGCUAAAGAAAAUACAAUUAGGAAAUAAAUGUGCAUUCCUUCUGGUUUGAGCCAAUAUGCUGAGCAGACCUUGGGUGCUAGCUCUGCACCCAGCCCCACAACACGAAGAAGAAGCUCAACUCCCGGGUGCUCUAAUACAUCCAGGUUCAUAGGUGAGGACACCACAAUAUCUGCCCCAACACCAUGUGUAAUUGGGACUACUGGGAUCCAGGGACACAGGAACCCCAGCCCAGACAGUGUCACCAGUUCCUUCCAGUCUGAGCCAGUGCCCUGAGUAGACACUGGGCCAAGCUCUGCACCCAAUCCCACAACACCAGAAGAAGUUCAAACUCUCAGAUUCUCUAACACGCUCAGGAUCACAGGAACUCAGGAGCUUGGUCACCCCAGGAUUUCAGGAUCUCAGAGGCAGCUAGACUCCCAGGAGCUCUGACACACCCAGGAUAUCAGGAUCAUAGGAUCCCAGAAUCAUAGGAUCCCAGAGACAGUUGUACUCUGAGGAGUUCUGAUACAACCAGGAUCACAGGAGAGACAGAUUUCAGACAGAGAUAUCAAGGGCAGGUAGCACUAAUGAUAAUCAGAUGGCAGGAGGCAAGGUCAAGAACAUAAGCAACAGAAAGUAAGGUUACUUGGCAUCUUCAAAACCCAGUUCUCUCACUAUAGCAAGCCCUAACUACACCAUCACACUUGAAAAGCAAGAUUCUGAUUUAAAAUUGCUUCUCAUGGUAGUGAUAGAAGACUUUAAGAAGGACAUAAAUAAUUUCUUUUUUAAAAAUGCAGGAGAAUACAGGUAAAGAGCUAGAAGACCUUAAAGAGGAAACACGAAAUCCCUUAAAGAAUUAAAGGAAAACAAAACCAAACAGGUAAAGGAAUUGAACAAAACCAUCCAGGAUCUAAAAUGGAAGUAGAAACAAUGAAGAAAUCACAAAGGGAGACAACUCUGGAGACAGAAAACCUAGG